GACGAACGCUGGCGGCGUGCCUAACACAUGCAAGUCGAGCGGAAAGGUCAGUACUUGCACUGUCACUCGAGUGGCGAACGGGUGUGUAACACGUGGGGGAUCUGACUUGCACGCUGGGAGAAGCUUGGGAAACUGGGGCUAAUACCGGAUAUGAACUGUCUUUAAUGAGGUGUUUGGAAAGUUUUUUCGGUGCAAGAUGAGCUCGCGGCCUAUCAGCUUGUUGGUGGGGUAAUGGCCUGCCAAGGCGUCGACGGGUAGCCGGCCUGAGAGGGUGUACGGCCACAUUGGGACUGAGAUACGGCCCAGACUCCUACGGGAGGCAGCAGUGGGGAAUAUUGCACAAUGGGCGGAAGCCUGAUGCAGCGACGCCGCGUGGGGGAUGACGGCCUUCGGGUUGUAAACUCCUUUCGACAGGGACGAAGCGUAAGUGACGGUACCUGUAUAAGAAGCACCGGCUAACUACGUG
rnacentral:rRNA from 1 species